UACGUAGGGGGCAAGGCGUUGUCCGGAAUUAUUGGGCGUAAAGAGCUCGUAGGCGGUUUGUCGCGUCUGCUGUGAAAACUCGGGGCUUAACUCCGGGCCUGCAGUGGGUACGGGCAGACUAGAGUGCGGUAGGGGAGACUGGAAUUCCUGGUGUAGCGGUGAAAUGCGCAGAUAUCAGGAGGAACACCGGUGGCGAAGGCGGGUCUCUGGGCCGUAACUGACGCUGAGGAGCGAAAGCGUGGGGAGCGAACAGG
rnacentral:rRNA from 1 species